UGGGGAGUAUUGGACAAUGGGGGCAACCCUGAUCCAGCAAUGCCGCGUGGGUGAUGAAGGCCUUCGGGUUGUAAAGCCCUUUCGGCGGGGACGAUGAUGACGGUACCCGCAGAAGAAGCCCCGGCUAACUUCGUGCCAGCAGCCGCGGUAAUACGAAGGGGGCUAGCGUUGUUCGGAAUGACUGGGCGUAAAGGGCGCGUAGGCGGCGAUUUUAGUCAGGCGUGAAAGCCCUGGGCUUAACCUAGGAACUGCGUUUGAUACUGGAUCGCUUGAGUGUGGGAGAGGAUGGUGGAAUUCCCAGUGUAGAGGUGAAAUUCGUAGAUAUUGGGAAGAACACCGGUGGCGAAGGCGGCCAUCUGGACCAUUACUGACGCUGAGGCGCGAAAGCGUGGGGAGCAAACAGGAUUAGAUACCCCCGUAGUCC
rnacentral:rRNA from 1 species